AAAUACAUUUAGAUGUGGUUUGGAUGGUGAGACGAAAUGAGAUACUUUUAGAUGAAAGUUAAAAAUUGAAUAAAAUAUUAUAAGAAUAUUAUUUUUUAAUAUUAUUAUUGUUUUGAGAUUUGAAAAAGUUGAAUUGUUUAUUAUAUUUUGUGUAAA